CGGCAACAGCUCAAAUUUGAAAUCUGGCGUCUUCGACGUCCGAGUUGUAAUUUGCAGAGGGCGCUUUGGCAUUGGCAGCGGUCCAAGUUCCUUGGAACAGGACGUCACAGAGGGUGAGAAUCCC
rnacentral:rRNA from 1 species